CGUAGGGGGCAAGCGUUGUCCGGAUUUAUUGGGCGUAAAGAGCUCGUAGGUGGCUGAGUAAGUCGGAUGUUAAAUCCCCAGGCUCAACCUGGGACACCACCCGAUACUGCUCUGGCUAGAGUCCGGUAGGGGAGCGUGGAAUUCCUGGUGUAGCGGUGAAAUGCGCAGAUAUCAGGAGGAACACCAGCGGCGAAGGCGGCGCUCUGGGCCGGUACUGACACUGAGGAGCGAAAGCGUGGGUAGCAAACAGGAUUAGAUACCCUGGUAGUCCACGCCGUAAACGUUGGGCACUAGGUGUGGGGUCUAUUCAACGGACUCCGUGCCGUAGCUAACGCAUUAAGUGCCCCGCCUGGGGAGUACGGCCGCAAGGCUA
rnacentral:rRNA from 1 species